rnacentral:rRNA from 1 species
GAUGAACGCUAGCGACAGGCUUAACACAUGCAAGUCGAACGGAACUGUUUGAAUGAAGUUUUCGGAUGGAUUUUAAACAGUUUAGUGGCGGACGGGUGAGUAACGCGUGGGUAACCUGCCUCACACUGGGGGAUAACAGUUAGAAAUAGCUGCUAAUACCGCAUAAGCGCACAGCUCCGCAUGGAGCAGUGUGAAAAACUCCGGUGGUGUGAGAUGGACCCGCGUCUGAUUAGCCAGUUGGCGGGGUAACGGCCCACCAAAGCGACGAUCAGUAGCCGGCCUGAGAGGGUGAACGGCCACAUUGGGACUGAGACACGGCCCAA